rnacentral:misc_RNA from 1 species
CAAAGCACAAGCCAAUGCUGAGGCUGGCUGUGAGAAGAUCUCCUCUUUACAAUCAGUCUUGGCACAUCUUUGGCUAUCUGUAAUUCGAAAUCGUCAACUCAUUGAUCCCAAUCAAGAGACCAACUUCCACUUGAUGGUUGGUAUUAGAUCAAGAUUGCAGCCACCUUUGCCAGGAGAGUAUUUUGGAAAUGCGGUUCAGGGAGUGACAGUGACGUUGAAAGCAAGAGAGGUAAUCAAGCAAGGACUUGGCUACACAGCUCUAGAGAUGAACAGGAUGGUUAACACUUACACAGAAGACAAGGUCAAAAAAGUUUUAGAGUCUUCGAUACAGCAGCCUAAGAUACUUAAAAUGGAUGGCAUUCCACAAGAUGAUUUGGCGGCAAGCAGUUCACUGAGGUUUAAUGUUUAUGGAAAUGAUUUCGGGUGGGGAAAGCCAAUUGCAGUAAGAAGUGGACCUGAGAACAAGUUUUGUGUGAAGAUAACCGUUUUUCCAGGAGUUGAGGAAGGGAGUAUGGACACUGAAGUUUGCACUUUUCUUGAGAUUUUGGAGGCCAU